GACGAACGCUGGCGGCGUGCUUAACACAUGCAAGUCGAACGGGAAGGCCCUGCUUUUGUGGGGUGCUCGAGUGGCGAACGGGUGAGUAACACGUGAGUAACCUGCCCUUGACUUUGGGAUAACUUCAGGAAACUGGGGCUAAUACCGGAUAGGAGCUCCUGCUGCGUGGUGGGGGUUGGAAAGUUUCGGCGGUUGGGGAUGGACUCGCGGCUUAUCAGCUUGUUGGUGGGGUAGUGGCUUACCAAGGCUUUGACGGGUAGCCGGCCUGAGAGGGUGACCGGCCACAUUGGGACUGAGAUACGGCCCAGACUCCUACGGGAGGCAGCAGUGGGGAAUAUUGCACAAUGGGCGGAAGCCUGAUGCAGCAACGCCGCGUGCGGGAUGACGGCCUUCGGGUUGUAAACCGCUUUCGCCUGUGACGAAGCGUGAGUGACGGUAAUGGGUAAAGAAGCACCGGCUAACUACGUGCCAGCAGCCGCGGUGAUACGUAGGGUGCGAGCGUUGUCCGGAUUUAUUGGGCGUAAAGGGCUCGUAGGUGGUUGAUCGCGUCGGAAGUGUAAUCUUGGGGCUUAACCCUGAGCGUGCUUUCGAUACGGGUUGACUUGAGGAAGGUAGGGGAGAAUGGAAUUCCUGGUGGAGCGGUGGAAUGCGCAGAUAUCAGGAGGAACACCAGUGGCGAAGGCGGUUCUCUGGGCCCUUCCUGACGCUGAGGAGCGAAAGCGUGGGGAGCGAACAGGCUUAGAUACCCUGGUAGUCCACGCUGUAAACGGUGGGUACUAGGUGUGGGGUCCAUUCCACGGGUUCCGUGCCGUAGCUAACGCUUUAAGUACCCCGCCUGGGGAGUACGGCCGCAAGGCUAAAACUCAAAGGAAUUGACGGGGCCCCGCACAAGCGGCGGAGCAUGCGGAUUAAUUCGAUGCAACGCGUAGAACCUUACCUGGGUUUGACAUGGAUCGGGAGUGCUCAGAGAUGGGUGUGCCUCUUUUGGGGUCGGUUCACAGGUGGUGCAUGGCUGUCGUCAGCUCGUGUCGUGAGAUGUUGGGUUAAGUCCCGCAACGAGCGCAACCCUUGUUCACUGUUGCCAGCACGUUAUGGUGGGGACUCAGUGGAGACCGCCGGGGUCAACUCGGAGGAAGGUGGGGAUGACGUCAAGUCAUCAUGCCCCUUAUGUCCAGGGCUUCACGCAUGCUACAAUGGCUGGUACAGAGAGUGGCGAGCCUGUGAGGGUGAGCGAAUCUCGGAAAGCCGGUCUCAGUUCGGAUUGGGGUCUGCAACUCGACCUCAUGAAGUCGGAGUCGCUAGUAAUCGCAGAUCAGCAACGCUGCGGUGAAUACGUUCCCGGG
rnacentral:rRNA from 1 species